rnacentral:rRNA from 1 species
GACGAACGCUGGCGGCGUGCUUAACACAUGCCAGUCGAACGGAAAGGCCCUGCUUUUGUGGGGUGCUCGAGUGGCGAACGGGUGAGUAACACGUGAGUAACCUGCCCUUGACUUUGGGAUAACUUCAGGAAACUGGGGCUAAUACCGGAUAGGAGCUCCUGCUGCAUGGUGGGGGUUGGAAAGUUUCGGCGGUUGGGGAUGGACUCGCGGCUUAUCAGCUUGUUGGUGGGGUAGUGGCUUACCAAGGCUUUGACGGGUAGCCGGCCUGAGAGGGUGACCGGCCACAUUUGGACUGCGGUAGGGCCCAGACUCCUACAGGAGGCAGCGGUGGAGAAUAUUGCACAAUGGGCCGAAGUCUGACACAACAACGCCGCGUGCGGGAUGACGGCCUUCGGGUUGUAAACCGCUUUCGCCUGUGACGAAGCCUGAGUGACGGUAAUGGGUGAAGAAGCCCCGGCUAACUACGUG